UACGGAGGAUCCAAGCGUUAUCCGGAUUUAUUGGGUUUAAAGGGUGCGUAGGCGGAAUGAUAAGUCAGUGGUGAAAGCCUGCAGCUUAACUGCAGAACUGCCAUUGAUACUGUCAAUCUUGAGUACAUUUGAUGUGGGCGGAAUGUGUCAUGUAGCGGUGAAAUGCUUAGAUAUGACACAGAACACCGAUUGCGAAGGCAGCUCACAAAACUGUAAACUUGACGCUGAAGGCACGAAAGCGUGGGGAGCAAACAGG
rnacentral:rRNA from 1 species